AAUCAACGCUGGCGGCGUGCCUCAGACAUGCAAGUCGAACGAGAAGGCUCCUUCGGGGGCCGGACAGUGGCGCACGGGUGAGUAACACGUGGGUAAUUUACCUUCGGGUGGGGAACGAACAGACCGGAAACGGACUGCUAAUACCGCAUAAUGCAGCGGCACCUAAUGGUGACAGUUGUUAAAGCGGGGGAGUCGCAAGACCUCGCGCCUGAAGAGAAGCCUGCGGCGGANAGGUAGUUGGUGAGGUAAUGGCUCACCAAGCCUGCGAUCUGUAGCCGGCCUGAGAGGGCGGUCGGCCACACUGACACUGAAC
rnacentral:rRNA from 1 species